rnacentral:rRNA from 1 species
ACGCACGCUGGCGGCGUGCCUAACACAUGCAAGUCGAACGGAGUCGGCCCCGCAAGGGACUGACUUAGUGGCGAACGGGUGAGUAACGCGUGAGCAACCUGCCUUUCAGUGGGGGACAACAGUUGGAAACGACUGCUAAUACCGCAUAAUGCAUUUUGACCGCAUGAUCGAGAUGCCAAAGAUUUAUUGCUGAAAGAUGGGCUCGCGUCUGAUUAGAUAGUUGGUGAGGUAACGGCCCACCAAGUCGACGAUCAGUAGCCGGACUGAGAGGUUGAACGGCCACAUUGGGAAUGAGAUACGGCCCAGACUCCUACGGGAGGCAGGAGUGGGGAAUAUUGGGCAAUGGGGGAAACCCUGACCCAGCAACGCCGCGUGAAGGAAGAAGGCUUUCGGGUUGUAAAAUUCUUUUACCAGGGACGAAGAAAGUGACGGUACCUGGAGAAAAAGCCACGGCUAACUACGUG